rnacentral:rRNA from 1 species
UACGUAGGUGGCAAGCGUUGUCCGGAUUUAUUGGGUUUAAAGGGUGCGUAGGCGGUCCCAUAAGUCAGUGCUGAAAUAUCCCGGCUUAACCGGGAGGGUGGCAUUGAUACUGUGGGACUUGAGUAAAGUUGAGGUUGGCGGAAUUGACGGUGUAGCGGUGAAAUGCUUAGAUAUCGUCAAGAACCCCUAGUGCGAAGGCAGCUAACUAAGCUUUAACUGACGCUGAGGCACGAAAGUGUGGGGAUCAAACAGG